rnacentral:rRNA from 1 species
AUGCGCACGACGGCUCGAGGAACCACCAUCCAGAUCCGAAAGGGAUCCAGAUCGGACACCAUAGCCGCCGACGUGAUCGCUUCGUCGCCGCCGCCAGCACGACAACCCUGGUCGCCACCGGCCUGCGCCACCGCCCUUGAAUCGGCCGGAGUAGGUCGCCGCCACCCAGAUCCGAUCGCCGGCCAAGGAAGAUUGCCGCCGCCGCCGCUGUGGCCCGCAGGCUUAGCCUGCGAUGCCCUCGGCGGCGGCGGUGGGAGGAGAGGGAUGCCCGACGGGGAGGCCCCGGUGCGGCGCGGCGUCGCCGCACGGGGGGAGGAGGUCACGGGGGGAGGAGGUCCCACGCUAAUCUCAUGA